rnacentral:rRNA from 1 species
AGCGAACGCUGGCGGCAGGCCUAACACAUGCAAGUCGAACGAAGUCUUCGGACUUAGUGGCGGACGGGUGAGUAACACGUGGGAACGUGCCUUUAGGUUCGGAAUAACUCAGGGAAACUUGUGCUAAUACCGAAUGUGCCCUUCGGGGGAAAGAUUUAUCGCCUUUAGAGCGGCCCGCGUCUGAUUAGCUAGUUGGUGAGGUAAAGGCUCACCAAGGCGACGAUCAGUAGCUGGUCUGAGAGGAUGAUCAGCCACAUUGGGACUGAGACACGGCCCAAACUCCUACGGGAGGCAGCAGUGGGGAAUCUUGCGCAAUGGGCGAAAGCCUGACGCAGCCAUGCCGCGUGAAUGAUGAAGGUCUUAGGAUUGUAAAAUUCUUUCACCGGGGACGAUAAUGACGGUACCCGGAGAAGAAGCCCCGGCUAACUUCGUGCCAGCAGCCGCUGUAA